UUGCAACCAGACUUGGCCCGCGGGCGAUCAGCCGGUAUUUUUUCCGGUGCACUCCGCCCGCGGUCAGGCCCACCUCGGUUUGGGCGGGUGGAUAAAGUCCCCCGGAACGUAGCCUCUUUCGGGGAGUGUUAUAGCCGGAGGGGGCAUGCAGCCCGGCCGGGCCGAGGGCCGCGGUUCGGGUAGGAUGCUGGCGUUAUGGUUGUUAGCGACCCGUCUUGAAACCCGGGCCAAGGAGUUUAACCUUUAUGCGGGGGGUUGGGGGUCCAACCCAUGGGGGCAAUGGAGGUGAACGGAGGUGGGAAACCUUAAGGGGGCCCCAUCGGCCGGUCCCGAUGUCCUUGGAAGGAAUUGAGUAAGAGCAUAGCCGUUGGGACCCGAAAGAUUGUGAACUAAGCCUGAAUAGGGGGAAAGCAGAAGGAACUUUGGGGGAGGGUCGCAGCGGGUUUGGCGGGCAAAUCGGUUGUCAAAUUUGGGGAAAGGGGGGAAAGGCUAAUUGGACCCUUUGGUUCUAGAAGGGACACGGGCCUGGGUGGCCCCAUAGUUCCCGGGCGGGGGGGGGGGCAUUGUCGGUUUUCGGGGACGGCUCAGGCCCACCGCAAUGAGGUUCGGGGCCAAUCCCAGGAUAAAGUGCGGGGGCCGGUGCCUGGAGCCCCGGUA
rnacentral:rRNA from 1 species